rnacentral:rRNA from 1 species
CCCUUCGGGGGUACACGAGCGGGCGAACGGGUGAGUAACACGUGAGCAAUAUGCCCUUCACACGGGGAUAACCACCGGAAAACGGUGGCUAAUACCCGAUACGACCACUUCAGGCAUCUGAUGGUGGUGGAAAGUUCCGGCGGUGAAGGAUGAGCUCGCGGCCUAUCAGCUUGUUGGUGGGGUAAUGGCCUACCAAGGCAACGACGGGUAGCCGGCCUGAGAGGGUGACCGGCCACACUGGGACUGAGACACGGCCCAGACUCCUACGGGAGGCAGCAGUGGGGAAUAUUGGACAAUGGGCGAAAGCCUGAUCCAGCAACGCCGCGUGAGGGAUGACGGCCUUCGGGUUGUAAACCUCUUUCAGCAGGGACGAAGCGCAAGUGACGGUACCUGCAGAAGAAGCACCGGCCAACUACGUGCCAGCAGCCGCGGUAAUACGUAGGGUGCGAGCGUUGUCCGGAAUUAUUGGGCGUAAAGGGCUCGUAGGCGGUUUGUCGCGUCGGGAGUGAAAACUCAGGGCUUAACCCUGAGCCUGCUUCCGAUACGGGCAGACUAGAGGUAUGCAGGGGAGAACGGAAUUCCUGGUGUAGCGGUGAAAUGCGCAGAUAUCAGGAGGAACACCGGUGGCGAAGGCGGUUCUCUGGGCAUUACCUGACGCUGAGGAGCGAAAGUGUGGGGAGCGAACAGGAUUAGAUACCCCCGUAGUCC